rnacentral:rRNA from 1 species
UACGGGGGGAGCAAACGUUGUUCGGAAUCACUGGGCGUAAAGGGCGUGUAGGCGGUCAGGUAAGUGGGAUGUGAAAUGCCCCGGCUCACCCGGGGACCGGCAUCCCAUACUGCUUGGCUUGAGUACGGGAGAGGAUGUGGGAAUUCCUGGUGUAGCGGUGAAAUGCGUAGAUAUCAGGAGGAACACCGGUGGCGAAGGCGCACAUCUGGCCCGAUACUGACGCUGAGGCGCGAAAGCUAGGGGAGCAAACGGG